rnacentral:misc_RNA from 2 species
AACGCACCUUGCGCUCCUUGGUAUUCCGAGGAGCAUGCCUGUUUGAGUGUCAUUAAAUUCUCAACUCUCUUUGAUUUCUUCAAAGGCGAGCUUGGAUCUUGGAGGCUUUGCCGGCUGUGAAGUCGGCUCCUCUGAAAAGCAUUGGUAAAGACGUAUUGCAUGCCUCUGUAAUGGAGGUGUGUGCUGGCCUCUGUAAUGGAGGUUGGUAUCAGGUCGGCCUUUCGGUGUGAUAAUGAUCACCGUGGCUAGCUGGCUAUUAAUGUCUAUGCCUUACUUACUACUUUUUCCAUUGACUUGGAAAAAAGCACUUUGACCAUUUUGACCUCAAAUCAGGUAGGACUACCCGCUGAACUUAA